rnacentral:rRNA from 1 species
UACGGAGGGUGCAAGCGUUAUCCGGAUUUACUGGGUUUAAAGGGUGUGUAGGCGGGCUUUUAAGUCAGUGGUGAAAUCUCCGGGCUCAACCCGGAAACUGCCAUUGAUACUAUUAGUCUUGAAUAUUGUUGAGGUAGGCGGAAUAAGUCAUGUAGCGGUGAAAUGCAUAGAUAUGACUUAGAACACCGAUUGCGAAGGCAGCUUACUAAACAAUUAUUGACGCUGAGGCACGAAAGCGUGGGGAUCAAACAGG